AGAGCCGUACAAAAACCUCCCUCAGUCAGACUGCACAGUGACAGUACUGAUACAGCUGGGACCUUCUGCAGGUGCUGAGGGGAGGAGAUGAUCCAGUACAAAGACAGUGUGUAGUAGAGCUGAACAACAAUAUCUGUCUUAUAACUUAUCAUAUUCAGUCAUUCGUGGCAUCAUUAUAUCAUUUUCACACAUUUGUCUUGAGUAUCUCAUGGAGAACAAUGAACCCAUCUAUCUUCAAUGGGUUCAAAUCUGGUAUCUUCUGAAACAGAUGAUACCAGAAAUGAUUUUGUGCAUUCAACAGAUCACUAAACUUAAGAUGGCCUUUUGUUUAGGAACAUUUUCAUUUAGAGUUAGAAAAUGCCUUGUUGCAGCCAGUUUCUAGCCUCUGUUGGACCAUGGUGAUAUUCUGCCCCAGGAUCUUACCUGCAUACAAUAGUCACUCUACCAUGAUGGUGUUAGAUUGGUAACCAAACUCAAGCCCUCUAACACAUCACUGUACCUUUAUAUCAGUUAUCAGGAUGUGAGAUCACAGACUCACUGGUACGUUUGUCUAUGAGGACAUCUUUGUCAGUACUUCUAGAACUAGUGGGUGGAGGAGUCAGGCGCAGAGAGCAGGGUAGUAGAUACGUGGAUAGUUUAUUUCCAAAGCAACAGUGUCGGUCAACGCCACACACUCGGGUGCUAAAAGACCCAGUCCAAAACAACAGGACGAAACGGUUCGGGAAAAAAUAACGUCCACAGAAAUCACACACACCAAUUAACAAAAAACAAGCCCGCACAAAAGCCGGCGGGCCUACCGGGUUUAAAUAGCCCAAAACCAAAACCUAAACAAGAAACAGAUGCAACUUAUCAGACAACACUAAAUGAAACAGAAAAGGGGAUCGGUGGCAGCUAGUAGGCCGGCGACGACGACCGCCGAGUGCUGCCCGAAUAGGAAGAGGCACCAUCUUCGGCGGGAUUCGUGACAGUACCCCCGCCCCCUGUCCUUCAAGACACCAGAACCCACAACAACCAUUACUUCUAUCAUCAUAUUCAUCUGGAUUUUUGUAUUCUUACAUGAAGGAAUCCAGGGGACAGUACACUGUGACUCAGACUCCUACAGUGAAAGUUGCUCAUGUUGGACAGCAGUCGCUCUGAACUGUCAAACCAACAGUGAUGUGUAUGGCUCUUAUCCCUGCCUAGCCUGUAACCAACAGAAACCUGGAGGAGCUCCUAAACUCCAUAGACCCCAUCUGGAUUCAGUGGUAGUGGAUCUGGGAGUGACUUCACUCUGACCAUCAGUGGAGUCCAGGCUGAAGAUGCAGGAGAUUUCUACUGUUAGAAUUACCACAGUAGUGGAUUGUUCACACAGUGAUACAGAGUCGUACAAAACCCUCCUCAGUCAGACUGCACAGUGACAGUACUGAUACAGCUGGGACCUACUGCAGGUGCUGAGUGGGAAGAGACAGUGACAUGGAAGACUGAUCAGUAGAGGAGGUCAACUUUGAAAAUGGUUAGAAAGUAUCAUUCAGAACACACGUUCUCCAACGUCGUCAUCAUCAUCAUCAUCAUGGUUGUAACUUGUUAUUUUGGACAUGAACUGAAAGUGUAUAUAAAAGUUAUUUGUAGCUUUGGAAGACAAUACUAGUCCAUAGUAGAGUAAGAUGUACAGAAGUAAGAGGAAACGUAUCAGCCCCCAAACCAAUUCCCUACAUGCACUUCACAACCAGUUAAUGAUGUGAUCAUCUAGCAUGUAUUAACCCUUUUCAUGAGCUGAUAGAUCUGUGAAUGAGACAUGAUGCUGGGCUCAAACAUGACACAUUGAUGUAGAGACAUACACUACACACUGUUAUCAUAAAGUAUAAUAUCUGUCGAAUCUGUCAUUAAUUACAUGGUGAAUCCACCAUAGAUGUUAAACCAGUCCACUCCCUCACAUCUGGCCCAGUCCAGAGUAUUUCACUCAGCGAAACUGUUCAACUGCUUGACUCGUAGCUGUGUGAGUGAAACUGAGAUUUACAUAGACAGGGCAGGAUGGUUCUGCUUGUCCCAGAAUAGAGCAGCACUGUCGCCAUAUUGGGAAUGAAACAUAAAUACAUAUGUUUUGGAAAGUAAUUGUUUAGCAGUGUGAGUUCUGAGAGCAGAUCUUAGAUGUUUAUUAUCUAAUAUCACUAAUUAUUCUCACUGGUAUUGGAGCUACAGGCUCAUUCAGUUGUAGAAAUGAUUGCAAAGUAUUUGUUGGAUCAGAUGCCCUUUUAAUUAUGUUUGAAAACAUGAGAGUAGCAGAAAAGAUGCCUCAUGCAGUGUGACAUCCCCUUCGCAUAGAGUUGAUUGUGGCCUGUGGAAUGUUGUCGCAAUCCUCUUCAAAUGCUGUGUGAAGUUGCUGGAUAUUUUUAUUUAACUCGGCAAGUCAGUUAACAGCAAAUUUUUAUUUAAAAUGACGGGCUACCAAGAGGCAAAAGGCCUCCUGCAGUGGCUGGAAUUAAAAAGAAAAAUAUAAGACAAAACACACCAUGACAGGAGAGACACCACAACACUACAUAAAGAGAGACCUAAGACAACACAGCAUGACACCAACAAAUGACAAAACAGCAUGGUAGCAACACAACAUGACAACACUGUGGCAACGCAUGGCAGCAGCACAACAUGGUAGCAGCACAAGCAUGGUACAAACAUUGUUAGGCACAGACAACAUGUCACGAAUAUUACCGAUGGUGACUCCCCUUCUUGUUCGGGUGGCGCUCGGCGGUCGUCGUCGCCGGUCUACUAGCUAUCACCGAUCCGUUGUUCUGUGUUCCUUUGGUUUUGUCUGAUUGUUUUCACCUGUUUCUUGUUUGGUUGUUAGGGUGGGGUUAUAUAAGUUUGUUCAGCCCGCUUCUGUUUUGUGCGGGCUUGUUCGUCUGUUCUGUGUUUGAGUGUAUUUUGCAUUUCCGGGUUUCACGCUGUCCGUUAUUAUUUCUGAUCAUUUGUUUUCCUACUUUUGUUCAUGUUAUUUUUCCUGGACAUUAAAGUGUGUUUUUUCCACA